UGCCAGCAGCCGCGGUAAUACGGAGGGUGCAAGCGUUGUUCGGAAUCACUGGGCUUAAAGGGUGCGCAGGCGGACUUGUAAGCGUCCUGUGAAAUACCACGGCUCAACCGUGGAAUUGCGGGGCGAACUGCAAGUCUUGAGGCAGGUAGAGGUCGUCGGAACGUUCGGUGGAGCGGUGAAAUGCGUAGAUAUCGAACGGAACGCCGAAGGAGAAGUCAGACGACUGGGCCUGUCCUGACGCUCAGGCACGAAAGCGUGGGGAUCAAACAGGAUUAGAUA
rnacentral:rRNA from 1 species